CUACGGGAGGCUCCAGUGAGGAAUAUCGCACAAUGGGGGGAACCCUGAUGCAGCAACGCCGCGUGGAGGAUGACGCAUUUCGGUGUGUAAACUCCUUUUAUAUGUCAAGAGAAUGACGGUAGCAUAUGAAUAAGCACCGGCUAACUCCGUGCCAGCAGCCGCGGUAAUACGGAGGGUGCAAGCGUUACUCGGAAUCACUGGGCGUAAAGGACGCGUAGGCGGGUUGGAAAGUCAGGUGUGAAAUCCUACAGCUUAACUGUAGAACUGCACUUGAAACUUCUAAUCUAGAGUAUGGGAGGGGGAGAUGGAAUUACUGGUGUAGGGGGUUCAUCCGUAGAUAUCACUAGGAAUACCUAAAGCGAAGGCGAUCUCCUGGAACAUUACUGACGCUAAGGCGUGAAAGCGUGGGGAGCAAACAGGAUUAGAUACCCCUGUAGUC
rnacentral:rRNA from 1 species